rnacentral:rRNA from 1 species
GUAGGUGGCGAGCGUUGUCCGGAUUUACUGGGCGUAAAGAGCGCGCAGGCGGUCGUACAAGUCGCGUGUGAAAGCCCCUGGCUCAACUGGGGAGGGUCACGCGAUACUGUUCGACUCGAAGGCAGGAGAGGGAAGUGGAAUUCCCGGUGUAGUGGUGAAAUGCGUAGAUAUCGGGAGGAACACCAGUGGCGAAGGCGACUUCCUGGCCUGUUCUUGACGCUGAGGCGCGAAAGCUAGGGUAGCAAACGGGAUUAGAUACCCCGGUAGUCCUAGCCGUAAACGAUGGACACUAGGUGUUGGUGGUAUCAACCCCGCCAGUGCCGAAGCUAACGCAUUAAGUGUCCCGCCUGGGGAGUACGGCCGCAAGGCUA